CUCUUGGUCAUUUAGAGGAAGUAAAAGUCGUAACAAGGUCUCCGUUGGUGAACCAGCGGAGGGAUCAUUACCGAGUUUACAACUCCCAAACCCCUGUGAACAUACCUUAUGUUGCCUCGGCGGAUCAGCCCGCGCCCCGUAAAAAGGGACGGCCCGCCGCAGGAACCCUAAACUCUGUUUUUAGUGGAACUUCUGAGUAUAAAAAACAAAUAAAUCAAAACUUUCAACAACGGAUCUCUUGGUUCUGGCAUCGAUGAAGAACGCAGCAAAAUGCGAUAAGUAAUGUGAAUUGCAGAAUUCAGUGAAUCAUCGAAUCUUUGAACGCACAUUGCGCCCGCCAGUAUUCUGGCGGGCAUGCCUGUUCGAGCGUCAUUUCAACCCUCAAGCCCAGCUUGGUGUUGGGAGCUGCAGUCCUGCUGCACUCCCCAAAUACAUUGGCGGUCACGUCGAGCUUCCAUAGCGUAGUAAUUUACAUAUCGUUACGGGUAAUCGUCGCGGCCACGCCGUUAAACCCCAACUUCUGAAUGUUGACCUCGGAUCAGGUAGGAAUACCCGCUGAACUUAAGCAUAUCAAUAAGCGGAGGAA
rnacentral:sRNA from 1 species